UCCCUUCUCCAUCUACGCGAUUCAUCUCUCUCCCACCAUCAUCUGCGAUUCAUCUCUCUCCAUCUCUACGAUUCUUCUCUCUCUCACCAUCAUCUUCGAUUCAACUCUAACCCAGUACCAUCUCUGCGAUUCCUCUCUCUCCCACCACCAUUUUCUGUUCAUCUUAUACUAGCUGUACACCUUCAUCAAUUGCUCACCUCUUUAAAUCCCUCGGUAUGAGAACCUUCAUCAGCAGUUAUUUUCCCCAAAAUUUAUUAACCCAUCAAUUUACAUCUUUAAAUUCAUUUACAAAUAUUUAGAUAGGUUGGAGCCAACAUAAUUUUGAGUGCUUACCGUAGAAAAAUAUGCAGUUGAUUUCUGAACUUGGAAUUUUUGCUUUCUUUGCAUAAUAUAUUCAAAAUUAUAUGAAUGGUUGUGAAUUUGUGAAGCUUGUCUUUGCCAAUUGCCUAUCAUCAUUUUAUCUUUCUAUUUUCUUAUUUUAAACAACAGAGUUUUUGGUAAUUAAUUGGGUUAAUUAGGGUAAUUAGUAUUAGUGACGGAUUAAUGACGGAUUUGUGACUUAGUAAUUAAAACCGUCAAAAAUUUGACGGAACCGUCUAAAAUGGACCAAAUGUGAUCCGAUUUCAAAUGUGAGGAACCGAAUAAUUCAAAAGAUAAUGUUUUAGACAAAAAUUAAAAAAUUGCAAUAUGUUAAAGAACAUUUUGAGACUUUAGUCUUAAAAGUAUAACAAGCAAUUAACUAUCACACGCGACCGGACACAAAUUUUAAAAUGUUAUUCAAUCCUCAUCACAUCUCAGUUAUUAAGAGAACAAAAAGCCUAGGUUUUUAAGUCAUCUCCAAAACUCCAACAAUAUAGAGUAUGUAUAUACACAAAUUUGGAUCAUGAGCGCCAAGGAAAUUGAGCAUUAGCAACCAAAAAUGCCGAAUUGGAUUUCUUAAAGCAGUUGCGAAGCUUACAGGUGUGGAUGUGCUCAAAGUUGAUGCUGAGAAAGGAAAGAUAACUGUUGCCACCGCGAUAAGAAAAGCUGGUUAUUCGGACGAGCGUUGGACCACCAAAGAAACCCGAUCCCAAACCUGACAUUGAUGAAUCGAAGAAGCCGCCGCCGCCAGUGCCGGACCCGCCUCGUGCCCAAUGCCAGCUUGUCGCAGUGAUUUACGAUACUACCUACGAAUACGAUAGUGCAUUUUGUUCUAUUCUCUAAAGAUAAGCCAAACACAUACGUAUUGUUUAAUGAUAAUUUUCAAUAUAUUUGGUAAAA